UACAGAGGGUGCAAGCGUUGUUCGGAAUUAUUGGGCGUAAAGCGCGUGUAGGCGGCUUUGCAAGUCGGGUGUGAAAGCCCUCGGCUCAACCGAGGAAGUGCGCCCGAAACUGCAGAGCUUGAGUACCGGAGAGGAUGGCGGAAUUCCCCAAGUAGAGGUGAAAUUCGUAGAUAUGGGGAGGAACGCCGGUGGCGAAGGCGGCCAUCUGGACGGAUACUGACGCUGAGACGCGAAAGCGUGGGGAGCAAACAGG
rnacentral:rRNA from 1 species